rnacentral:lncRNA from 1 species
GUUUACGGUCCGUCUUGGAGAUGCUCUUGCACAAAAAUAGAGCCUAUUGUUAAGCAAGUUCAUGAUUUAUUUAAUAUAAAUGGACGCAAAUCAUAAAAAUUAUUACGCUUUGGCGACUGUAUAACUUUAUCGAUGAUGGGAUAAGGAGAUGAGACUAAUGAAAGUACUCCUAGAGCAAGUAUUGUAAUUUCAUUUGCCUUUUUCUUUCAACCCCUCCCUUUGCCAUUGACCGGUGGCUCUCCUGGAUCACUCCGCCAGCGCCAGCUCGUAGGGACACGCGCCCGCAAACCACUUCCCCUUCAUCUUUUCUCCUACUCCAUUCCCUCUUCACUUCGUUUCCUGUUCCCCUGGACCCCCUUUCUCGUCCAGCUCGCCGGGGUGCCACCGCUCACCGUUGCAACGCGAGCGGCAGGAAUCAGUGGGAUCCGCCAGCCCUCGAUUCGGAUCGGUGUCCACACCACCGGCUCCGACAUGCACACCAGCUGGAGGACGCCAUGAACCACCUUGUUUUCUGGUGCGUUCUUGCUCCUAGGUAGUUCCCCUAGCUCCAUUGUUGCUCCCGCUGUUCCUUUAAUGGUGAUUCCAUGCGCUGUCAUACAGGAACCUCUUGGACCGAGGCCGCCUUCCUCGCUUUGUGACGCCACCGCGGUCAUCCUCCCCACCGAACAGCUCCAGGGACCGUGAUGUGCUCCUCUUUGUCCGCGUCUCCCCUGGACACUGACCACCAUUGCCGUUGUCUGGAGCUCGUUGCUCUGCUUUGCUCUGUCCAACCUCGCCACUAACAGCAGGGUGAGAAACUGCCUCUGCACAUUAUUGGCUGCGUGCUGCUGAUGUUGUUUGCUGCUUGCUGCCGCUGGCUACUUUGAUGUUGUCGAUGCUUUGCAGCUGGCUGCUUGUUGCUUGCUGCUGUGCCGUGACCUGCAUGUAGAUGAGAGAAAGUGAGAUUGAGUUGCUAUGAAGAAAGAUGGCCAUAUUCAGUACUGUUUAAUUUAGUUGCUUGUCACACUUUCGGACUAAGGCUAGACUUCCCCAUGUUAUAUAAGUUUUCACUCAAACAUUUUAUUUAUCAGGAAAAUCAUAGAAAAAUGCUCAACCUGCUGAACUUUCAAAUCUAUAACAAAAUCAUUUUAGUUCGAUUUGGAAUACUGAUAUGGAGUUGGAUGGUUUAACCUGUACUUUAGGAACAAACAUAUAUAAGCUUAGUCAGUAUUAUUGCAUAGAAAUAAAAGAUGAUGUACUUUAACAAAAUGUCUUUAAAUGUUUAAAAAUUCAUAACUUGUGUUCUAGGACUCCAGGAAUAUGUUAUUGCCAAUUUCAAUAGCUUCAUUUUGAACUUUCUGCAGGACAUCGCAUACAAUGCUCUGUACACAUUUUGGAAAUUCAUGAACAUUGAUCUUCCUCCGUUUGGUUCAUUUCCGGGGUUUCUUCCUCGUUUCAGUAGAGUCUGGCAACGAGGGGUAUUAUGAGUUUGAUACACAGCUUCUUCAGGACAUUGACCAACAAGGCAAGCAUCUUCUUGUUGACCCUAUCUUAUGUUUUACUUAUGUCGAAGGAUUAUACUACUCCCAAAGUCCCAUAUAAGGUCGUUUUCAAGCUACGUUAGAUUGAAAACCGUUCUUGUAUUAUGGGACAGCGGGAGUAUCUUGUUGUCGGUGUUGGUUACCAUCUCCUACCUUCCUUUGCAGUAUCCAUGUUUAGCUUUUUUGACAUUGCUAGGAGUUGCUUGCUGUUCAUGAUCAGCGCGUCAUCUUAAAAUGGUACAAUUAUG